ensembl:lncRNA
AUGAUACCAAAGUGUGUAACAGCACUUCUGGCUUCUGCCAUCUGCUCACCUAGGAAGGACAAGACGGCAAAACAUAUUAAAGAAUCCUGUGCAACUGACUGUGGGUUCCCUUCAGUGAUCUUCACUGGUACAAAGAAUUAUUUUGCUUUGUGCUGUAGUUUCCAAUUUUGCAAUACUUUACGGUACUCCCAAGAGGUAAUAGAAAAUCAUACCAACAUCCCAAUAUCAGGCUUCACAGCUAGUCUCUUCUGGGCUUGCUUCAGGAUUAUACUGCAAUUUAUUGGGCUGGGAGAUUGAAACUACCCCCUCCCACCUCCUGCCCCCAAAUUUGAUCACGUUCCUUCAGUAAGAAUAGAAUCUCUUUCCUGCCUGGCUUUGUAAUUGGUCUCUCAAAAUCCCAUGGUUAAAUAUGGUGAUAUUUGAUAAAUAUGGUAAAAAUUGUUGUAUGGGAGUUUCUCCCUAUAAUUCAGCAUCUCUUAAUGGCUGGACUUUGGAAGUGAUUCCUUGAGAAAACUUUUUAAAAAGGGUACUGGUUCUCACCCAACUUCAACACAGACUGACACUAUAUGAUACUGGGCAAAAUCACCAACCUUUAGCUUUUCCAUCUGAGAAAUAGGGAAAGCAGGGGCUUCUCAUACUUUGGGAACUUCUGGGAAACUUCAAGAUGAAAUCAGAGAAUCAAUUCUGAGAUCUCAUCCAUUAGGAACAUAUUCUCUGGGAACUUUAGGUCACAGGCUAAUCCUUUUGAGACCUUGAAGUUUAAUAAUAAUCAUAGACAUUUUUCUAGGUCUUUCUUCACAAUAGCCUUGAGAAAGCUGAGAGUACAAUGUGCAUUAAUCUUGGUUUUUUUUGGGGUGGGGGGAGGAAGAAACUGAGACUUAGAGGAAUAAAAUGACUGUCUAGAGACUGCCCAGAAAACUGGAAUUCCAUCCUGGGUCCCUAAUCAUCAAUUUCAAUGUUUUGCCUCUAUAUCCUCUGCCAGUAACCCGUCCUUUGUAAUGUGUUUAUGUGUUUUGUUUUAUUUAUUAUUAUUAUUAUUUUAUCUUCUUUGAACUUUUGUUUUCUGAGGAAAGUGCUGGUGAAAAGUCUUGGACAGACACUGAUUAAAUUUUUCUUUACCACUAUGUACUUCUUUCUUCCUCCACUUCUUCACUGUGGUGGUCUAAUCACAUUGCACAUCCCCUGGUAAUUCUCUUUGUCUUCUCUUUCCCAUGGGGCCUGUAAGAUUUGGUUAUUGUCUUUAUUCUUCAAACAAUCGCCUAAAAUAAAAUACUUUGCUUUUCAAUUAAUCAAUUAACAAAGUUGUUGUUGUUGUUGUUUUUUUAAAUCACCUACUAUGUGCCAGGCACUAGAAAAGGUAAGAGAAGUACAAGUACAAAGCCUAAAUUUCUCUAUUCUACUCUCCAAGUUCCUACACUCAUUGGGGGAGACAAUAAGCACAUAUAUAAGAAUAUACAGAGUAAAUAAGGACAGCUAGGUUGCACAGAUGGAUAGAGGAGUGGAGUCAGGAAGUCUCAUCUUCCUUAAUUCGAAUCCUGCCUCAGACACUUCCUGGCUGAGUGACCCUGGGCAAGCCACUUACCCCUGAGUAUCUCUGCUAAGAAAAUUCUAAAUAGUUCAAGAAGAGUUGGAUAUGAUUAAAGCAACUAAACAACAAUGGAAUAAUGAAAAGGGAAUAAAUGAAAAAUAGCUAAGGUACAAGGUGUUUGGGGAAGGAAGGCGCUAGCAGUUGGGGGAAUCAGGGAAGGUUUCUUGGAGAAGAUAGUGCUAAAGCUGCAUCUUAAAGCAAGAAAGGAAUUCCAAGCAGUGCAGGUGAGGAGGGAAUGCUUCCAAGUGCAGGAGAAGACCUGCACAGAAGUGGGGGUUUUUAAAGGAUUAUUUCUUGCUGAAUGGAAUGGAGUAGUUGGGGAGAACUUCAUGAAGUUACCUCCUCUUCCCUCUCACAGGAAAACUUAGGUGAUAUAGUAGCAAGACCAUUAUUACCUGAUAAGAGGAAGUAGUCUUCUAUUAUUUGGAGUUCCCUCUCAUGCUUCAGUUUGUCAAUGUCCCUCCUACAAUAUAGUGCCAAGAUUAGAAAUAAUAAU